rnacentral:rRNA from 1 species
UACGGAGGAUGCGAGCGUUAUCCGGAUUUAUUGGGUUUAAAGGGUGCGUAGGUGGUUUUUUAAGUCAGCGGUGAAAUCUUGACGCUUAACGUCAACAUUGCCGUUGAAACUGGACAACUUGAGUGCAGACGAGGCAGGCGGAAUUCGUAGUGUAGCGGUGAAAUGCAUAGAUAUUACGAAGAACUCCGAUAGCGCAGGCAGCUUGCCGGACUGCAACUGACACUGAAGCACGAAAGUGUGGGAAUCAAACAGGAUUAGAUACCCUGGUAGUCCACACCGUAAACGAUGAUUACUCGCUGUUUGCGAUAUACGGCAAGCGGCCAAGCGAAAGCAUUAAGUAAUCCACCUGGGGAGUACGCCGGCAACGGUGAAACUCAAAGGAAUUGACGGGGGCCCGCACAAGCGGAGGAACAUGUGGUUUAACUCGAUGAUACGCGAGGAACCUUACCCGGGCUCGAACGGCUGUUGAAUGAUGGUGAAAGCUGUCAGUCGCAAGACAACAGUCGAGGUGCUGCAUGGUUGUCGUCAGCUCGUGCCGUGAGGUGUCGGCUUAAGUGCCAUAACGAGCGCAACCCUUAUUGUUAGUUGCCAGCGGGUGAUGCCGGGGACUCUAGCAAAACUGCCGGCGUAAGCUGUGAGGAAGGUGGGGAUGACGUCAAAUCAGCACGGCCCUUACGUCCGGGGCGACACACGUGUUACAAUGGGAGGUACAGAAGGUUGCUACCACGCGAGUGGAUGCUAAUCCCGAAAGCCUCUCUCAGUUCGGAUCGAAGUCUGCAACUCGACUUCGUGAAGCUGGAUUCGCUAGUAAUCGCGCAUCAGCCAUGGCGCGGUGAAUACGUUCCCGGGCCUU